rnacentral:sRNA from 1 species
UGACUUCGAUAAUCUUAUUGUUGAAGUCACCUAGCCAACUGACGUUGUUAGUGAAUGUACAUUGUUCACACAAUAGGUCGAAUAGACUUAAUCGAACCAAUCGCAAAUUAGCGGUUGGUUUUUUUUUG